AUGCCGCCUUCUCCCUCAACGGGGUGGGCGCUGGCGACCAUCUACGGUGCGAGCUUGGGGGCCAGGGUGUGCCAGUCCAUGACACCGGCGCGGAAGAGGCGCGAUGCAGCGACCGACGACUCAAUCUCAUGGACCCAGCUAUUGGUGGAGGCCAUUGCUAUGAUGAUCAAGCUAGUACAGCCGGUGCUGAUGAGGGUCUGCGUGGUGAUUAGCCAGCUGCAUUACCCAUUAACAAAUGCCUGUGAGCGUGUACAUGUAUCAUUACACUAUCAGGCAAACACGAUGGGUCUAGACAAGGAGUACUUUUACAAGGAGGAGUUCAUGGGUUCUUCUUCGUCACAUGAUGAGGGGGAAGACAAUGAAACGGCGAUAAUGAUGGCGUCUUGA
rnacentral:rRNA from 1 species